rnacentral:rRNA from 1 species
AUCGGGGAAGUCGGUGAUCCUAUGCUGCCAAGAAAAUCUUCUAGCGAGGUUCUAGCCGCCCGUACCCCAAACCGACUCAGGUGGUUAGGUAGAGAAUACCAAGGCGAUCGAGUGAAUCGUGGUUAAGGAAUUCGGCAAAAUACCCCCGUAACCUAGGGAGAAGGGGGGCCCAGAGGGUGACGGGACUUGCUCCCCGAGCCUGAACGGCCGCAGAGACCAGGGAGAAGCGACUGUUUACUAAAAACACAGGUCCGUGCCAAGUCGCAAGACGAUGUAUACGGACUGACGCCUGCCCGGUGCUGGAACGUUAAGGGGACCGGUUAGCCUCACGGCGAAGCUGAGAACUUAAGCGCCAGUAAACGGCGGUGGUAACUAUAACCAUCCUAAGGUAGCGAAAUUCCUUGUCGGGUAAGUUCCGACCUGCACGAAUGGCGUAACGAUUUCUCCACUGUCUCAACCACGAACUCGGCGAAAUUGCACUACGAGUAAAGAUGCUCGUUACGCGCAGAAGGACGGAAAGACCCCGGGACCUUCACUACAGCUUGGUAUUGGUGUUCGGUACGGCUUGUGUAGGAUAGGUGGGAGACUGUGAAGCGGACACGCCAGUGUCGGUGGAGUCAACGUUGAAAUACCACUCUGGUCGUUCUGGAUAUCUAACCUAGGUCCGUGAUCCGGAUCAGGGACAGUGCCUGGUGGGUAGUUUAACUGGGGCGGUUGCCUCCUAAAAGGUAACGGAGGCGCCCAAAGGUUCCCUCAGCCUGGCUGGCAAUCAGGUGUCGAGUGUAAGUGCACAAGGGAGCUUGACUGUGAGACAGACAUGUCGAGCAGGGACGAAAGUCGGGACUAGUGAUCCGGCGGCUGCUUGUGGAAGCGCCGUCGCUCAACGGAUAAAAGGUACCCCGGGGAUAACAGGCUGAUCUUGCCCAAGAGUCCAUAUCGACGGCAUGGUUUAGCACCUCGAUGUCGGCUCGUCGCAUCCUGGGGCUGGAGUAGGUCCCAAGGGUUGGGCUGUUCGCCCAUUAAAGCGGUACGCGAGCUGGGUUUAGAACGUCGUGAGACAGUUCGGUCCCUAUCCUCUGCGCGCGCAGGAAACUUGAGAAGGGCUGUCCCUAGUACGAGAGGACCGGGAUGGACGAACCUCUGGUGUGUCAGUUGUUCUGCCAAGAGCACCGCUGAUUAGCUACGUUCGGGAGUGAUAACCGCUGAAAGCAUCUAAG